rnacentral:rRNA from 1 species
UACGAAGGGGGCUAGCGUUGUUCGGAAUUACUGGGCGUAAAGCGCGCGCAGGCGGUUCUGCAAGUCAGGCGUGAAAUCCCCGGGCUUAACCUGGGAAUGGCGCUUGAAACUACGGGACUGGAGUAUGGCAGAGGGAGGUGGAAUUCCACGUGUAGCGGUGAAAUGCGUAGAGAUGUGGAGGAACACCGAUGGCGAAGGCAGCCUCCUGGGCCAAUACUGACGCUCAUGCACGAAAGCGUGGGGAGCAAACAGG